rnacentral:rRNA from 1 species
AACGAACGCUGGCGACGUGGAUAAGACAUGCAAGUCGAACGGGAUUUUUUCCUGUAGCGAUACAGAAAAAAGUCUAGUGGCGAACGGGUGCGUAACACGUGAGCAACCUGCCGUGAAGUGGGGGAUAGCUCGCCGAAAGGCGAAUUAAUACCGCAUGUGGCCAAGGAAGACAUCUUCCUGACGCCAAAGCCGGGGCAACCUGGCGCUUCUCGAGGGGCUCGCGGCCUAUCAGCUUGUUGGUGAGGUAACGGCUCACCAAGGCUAUGACGGGUAGCUGGACUGAGAGGACGACCAGCCACACUGGAACUGAGACACGGUCCAGACACCUACGGGUGGCAGCAGUCGAGAAUUUUUCACAAUGGGGGAAACCCUGAUGGAGCGACGCCGCGUGGAGGAUGAAGGUUUUCGGAUUGUAAACUCCUGUCAUUAGAGAACAAGGUACACGGUUUAACUGGCCGUGUGUUGAUAGUAUCUGAAGAGGAAGAGACGGCUAACUCUGUGCCAGCCGCCGCGGUAAUAC